AACGCAAAUUGCACCCCCCUGCAAAGGAGGGUAUGCCUGUUUGAGUGUCAUUUUCUAUUCUCAACUUUGCUUGGCCUUUAUGGUCUUGCAGUUGGAUGUUGAAGGCAUGCUGGCCCUGUCAGCUCCUUUUAAAUAUAUGAGCGGGACGAUUACGUGUAAAUCAGCUCCAAUGUGAUAAACUUGCGUUGUCUGUGUUGUUGCUGUCAAGUAGUAAUCACCUGCUACUAAUUGUCCUUUGUGGACUGCCUUUGGCAAUUAUCUCUGUGACUUGACCUCAAAUCAGGUAGGACUACCCGCUGAACUUAA
rnacentral:misc_RNA from 1 species